rnacentral:lncRNA from 1 species
AAUAUUAGCCCCCAGUGCCACCAGUUUUGCCCACAGUUGCUGCCUCUUACAUAAAUCAUUAUUGGCAUAUACCACAGUUAGCAUUGUUCUGAAAGUAGUACCCCUCGCUUUAACCUCACAAUGGAUAAAUUGCUCGUCUACCAUCAGGACCUGUAACUCCACAUUUGCCUUCCAUAAUAUCCAUAUUCUACAAUUAGCAUGCUCACUGUAGUUGCCA